rnacentral:lncRNA from 1 species
AGGGGCACAGAGGUACUAAGUGGGGCCCAAGUCUGAACCAGGAUCUUUGUACUCUUCACCUUAGACUCUGUCCACAGCCCUCAGCUGCCCUCUCACAGGCCAGGCAAUUUAGAGUCUCAGAAAUAAGAGCAUCCCAAUGCCAGGAAGAAUGUUACAGAUCACCUGUCAGUGACGCAAGCCCCUCAUGUGACCAACAAGGAAACUGUUGCCCAGAGAGGGGAAUGGACAAGCCCAAGGUCACUCAGCCAGCUAUGGCCAAGCUGGACUUUGGAUCCCAGAUCUCUGGAUUCCCCAUCUGCAUCUCUCUCACUGGAUCAAACUGCCUUUAGACCCGUGCACUGGGGUGGGACUGUCCUAUUUGCAGGGCAUGGCUGCUGCCCAGUGGGAGGGGAUAGGAUGGCUACUGGGGCAACCACCGCUUGUCCACCCUGAGGAGAGAAGGUAUAAAAAUAACGCUACCUGCUCUUCCAGUUCAUCAAGUUAUAUGAAACUGUCUUGGGCAUGCCAAAGCAUUUGUAAAUGUAAGUCACUGACAUUUUGUCAACCAGCAAACCCUGAAGAGCUAGAUCUUCCUACAGGCUCAUCCAUGGGCCUCUGUGGGCAACAGAGCACUGGGAUUCAUGGGCCGGGGCUGAAUCCAGCUCCAGAAUCCCCAUGACCCUGCUCAUCUUCCUCUCUCCCUCUCUCCCUCCCUCCCUCCCCUGCCUUCCCUUCUUCUCUCCUUCCUUCCCUCCUCCCUUCCCUCCUUCCUUCCUUCC